rnacentral:rRNA from 1 species
UGCGUAGGCGGACUAAUAAGUCAGUGGUGAAAUCUUUCGGCUCAACCGAGAAACUGCCAUUGAUACUGUUAGUCUUGAGUUCGGUUGAGGUAGGCGGAAUGUGUAAUGUAGCGGUGAAAUGCUUAGAUAUAACACAGAACACCAAUUGCGUAGGCAGCUUACUAGACCGACACUGACGCUGAGGCACGAAAGCGUGGGGAGCGAACAGGAUUAGAUACCCUGGUAGUCC